GGGCCCGCACAAGCGGUGGAGCAUGUGGUUUAAUUCGAUGAUACGCGAGGAACCUUACCAGGGUUUAAAUGCAGAACGACAGGGGUGGAAACACCCCCUUCUUCGGACGGACUGCAAGGUGCUGCAUGGUUGUCGUCAGCUCGUGCUGUGAAGUGUCGGGUUAAGUCCCAUAACGAGCGCAACCCCUACCGUUAGUUGCCAGCGAGUAAUGUCGGGGACUCUAACGGAACUGCCGGUGCAAACCGUGAGGAAGGUGGGGACGACGUCAAAUCAUCACGGCCCUUACGUCCUGGGCCACACACGUACUACAAUGGUAAGGACAAUGAGCUGCGAUCCUGCGAAGGCUAGCCAAUCUCAAAAACCUUAUCUCAGUUCGGAUUGCACUCUGCAACUCGAGUGCAUG
rnacentral:rRNA from 1 species